CUGGUCUUAGAAACCAACUUGGUUGAUAUUCGGCCCUUGCCGCGUAGGUUAAGAUUUUCACAACCCAAAAAGACCCUAACGUACUACUCCCAAUAGUUAAAGUCGGCGAUAUGACCACAGCAGUUAAAACCGACUCUAAAUAA